rnacentral:piRNA from 1 species
UCCUUACUGCUUCAUUAGUGACAUUUUUCU